rnacentral:rRNA from 1 species
AUUGAACGCUGGCGGCAGGCUUAACACAUGCAAGUCGAGCGGAGAUGAGGUGCUUGCACCUUAUCUUAGCGGCGGACGGGUGAGUAAUGCUUAGGAAUCUGCCUAUUAGUGGGGGACAACAUUCCGAAAGGAAUGCUAAUACCGCAUACGUCCUACGGGAGAAAGCAGGGGAUCUUCGGACCUUGCGCUAGUAGAUGAGCCUAAGUCGGAUUAGCUAGUUGGUGGGGUAAAGGCCUACCAAGGCGACGAUCUGUAGCGGGUCUGAGAGGAUGAUCCGCCACACUGGGACUGAGACACGGCCAGACUCCUACGGGAGGCAGCAGUGGGGAAUAUUGGACAAUGGGGGGAACCCUGAUCCAGCCAUGCCGCGUGUGUGAAGAAGGCCUUAUGGUUGUAAAGCACUUUAAGCGAGGAGGAGGCUACUGAGACUAAUACUCUUGGAUAGUGGACGUUACUCGCAGAAUAAGCACCGGCUAACUCUGUGCCAGCCGCCGCGGUAACAC